UACGUGAGGGGCAAGCGUUGUCCGGAUUUAUUGGGCGUAAAGAGCGUGUAGGCGGCUAGAUAGGUCCGUUGUGAAAACUCGAGGCUCAACCUCGAGACGUCGAUGGAAACCAUCUGGCUAGAGUCCGGAAGAGGAGAGUGGAAUUCCUGGUGUAGCGGUGAAAUGACGCAGAUAUCAGGAAGAACACCCGUGGCGAAGGCGGCUCUCUGGUACGUGACUGACGCUGAGACGCGAAAGCGUGGGGAGCAAACAGG
rnacentral:rRNA from 1 species